UACGUAGGGCGCGAGCGUUGUCCGGAAUUAUUGGGCGUAAAGAGCUCGUAGGCGGCCUGUCGCGUCAAUUGUGAAAGCCCGGGGCUUAACCCCGGGUCUGCAGUCGAUACGGGCAGGCUAGAGUGUGGUAGGGGAGAUCGGAAUUCCUGGUGUAGCGGUGGAAUGCGCAGAUAUCAGGAGGAACACCGGUGGCGAAGGCGGGAUCCUGGGCCAGUACUGACGCUGAGGAGCGAAAGCGUGGGGAGCAAACAGG
rnacentral:rRNA from 1 species